GAUGAACGCUGGCGGCGUGCCUAGUACAUGCAAGUCGAGCGAACAGAUAAGGAGCUUGCUCCUUUGACGUUAGCGGCGGACGGGUGAGUAACACGUGGGUAACCUACCUAUAAGACUGGGAUAACUUCGGGAAACCGGAGCUAAUACCGGAUAACAUUUGGAACCGCAUGGUUCUAAAGUGAAAGAUGGUUUUGCUAUCACUUAUAGAUGGACCCGCGCCGUAUUAGCUAGUUGGUAAGGUAACGGCUUACCAAGGCAACGAUACGUAGCCGACCUGAGAGAGGGGUAGGCCACACGGGAGCGGGGACACGGUCCAGACGCCUACGGGAGGCAGCAGAAGGGAAUGUGCCGCAGUGGGCGAAAGCCUGACGGAGCAACGCCGCGUGAGUGAUGAAGGGUUUCGGCUCGUAAAGCUCUGUUAUUAGGGAAGAACAAACGUGUAAGUAACUGUGCACGUAUUGACGGUACCUAAUCAGAAAGCAACGGCUAACUACGUG
rnacentral:rRNA from 1 species